AGCUCACCCAUAAUUGCCUGUUGGACUGACCUCCAGAUGGACCACCAGGAGCACCCAGAAGGGCUGACUAGCAGAGUGCAGGUUCAGGUGUCCCCAGGAGGCCAGAAGACAUUGGAUCCCCUGGAGCUGGAGUUAGAGGCAUCUGGUGUGAGCCUCUCAAUGUGGCCUCUGGAAACCACAUAUCUUCCUCAAGAACAAGACACACUGUCUUUUA